GUGGGUGAAUCUGAAAGAGAAGCCAGGGCAGGGGCCCAACAAUCCUUGAGAUCCUAGUCAGGAAUUGUAUGGAAACCUAGCCCCACCCACUCGCUCUCUCCCUACCCCAGGGCCAAGUUUGUAGUCUCAGAAAACCCUGGAGAUUUGAUCUUAGUGUGUGCUGAAACUUCUCUUUGGGGAGCCCCUGAGAACCAGCACUUGGGGAAGGCUGGGGUGGAUCCCUAAUUAGGAUGGAAAUCAGGCUGUUUCUGAGCAACUGUCUCCUAACUCUAAGAAGGAAAUGUGGCUGGCUAGAGAGGCCUCAGUGUGCUGGACUGGCAGAGGGAUGUGAGUGAGUUCCCUGCUCACCCCACUUUACCCAUCCCCCUCUAGCUGCAUCUGGGGCCCCUACCAGCCCAUGGAGAGGAUAGCCUGGAUCCUGAUGGCUGCUGCCUGACUCCUCCUCCAACUGGAGGAUUCAAGGGGGUGUCUAGAAGCUGACCUGGGCUUGGCUGAGUGCAAGGAAGCCAUCUGAGAAAGUGAAAGCUGUUUUCCUCCCCUAUUCUGCUCCCUCCCUUAGAAGUGAGUGUAUUAGACUGUUGGACAGCCACAGGCUUGGGGUGAACCCUAGCCAUCAAUAGAGGACCUUGCCAGGAAGUGGGCUGCUGAGGCAUACUGAAUGUGGGAGGAUGGGCAGAGGCCAAGCCCAAGGGCCAGCAGACUGGUGGCUUGGCUGCCCUGGCCCUAGGGUGGUGGGUCCUGCUCCAGUGCCUCCCAUAGGAAGCCAAGAUGUGGCUAUUCGACUUGGGGGGGUUGGGGCAGGGCCUUCAGUGUUUACAGGCUUAGAAAACAGAGAUUAAUAAACUAAUUUCACAUGGCCAAGGAAGGAAUGAAUUAAUCAAAUCAGCAUUUUCCCAAAGUAUGCUUCAAAACAUUAGAAACACGAAGUGGUGAUGACCUGAUGGGAAAAAGGGGAUAGAGGACCCAGGUUUAGGAGAAUCAUGUAGCUCAUGACAGACAUGCAAAUUAACGAGAGAUCACUGUGGCUUCUUGGGGAUUUCACAGGGCAAACAGGCAGCACACAGCAAUUCCGUGGGGGCUAAAGGGACAGAAAUCCCCGUAUUUAUUUGACCCUUGUCACAGAGGAUCUCAUGUUCCAUAGGACACCAUUUUGGAAAAUGCUUGUCCUGUGUCUUUCUCCAAGCCCCUUUCCAGCACUAAACCUGUUUGGGAAAUCAUGACACAGACCCAAAGACUAGGGGAGGUAUGAGACUUUGAGGAAAAAGCUGCCAGAAGGAGUGAGAGGGAAGCCCUUGAGGCAGGAAAUAGGACUCAAGAUGAGAGGCUGAGAGGGAAAAGCCCAGACUCUAGGGGUGGGAAGGUAGGAACACAGCUUCUGUGGCCUGGGGGGAGAAGGGACUGUGGAGGUCAAGUUCUCACAUCCUUCCCAACCCCACGCUCAGCACCAAAUGGGUGCCCAUGAUGCUUCUCAGGUGGCUUGGGGCAGGACAUACCAGUUCAAUUCUGUCAGGCCCAGGGGACAAAAGGAGGGGCCCUGCUCCAGCGCUGCGAGAGGGGUCUGGUGACUGACUUGUUAAGCCUCUCUAUAGUAUGGAUUGAGGGGCCCAGGCAAACAAGGGGUUCGUCUCCCUGGCAAGGUGAGGUGAUGUCCCUCCCAUCUUCAAACCUUCCCUGCCUUUUCCCAUCUCCCUCCAGCACCAGUGGGCUCUGUUCUUCGUGCAGGGGCAUGGCAUCGCUGGGGGAGUGAGAGCUGUGGUCAGUGGCGGCCUCGGAGGCAGCUCAACCAGACCUCCCGUCCUCCUCAGAAGCUGCAGCCCCCACAGCACAGCCUAGCACCCCAGGCAAGAGCACAGGGGCCUUAAUAUAUGUUGGUCUGUGUGGUAGACUACCUCAUAUCCUCAUCAAAGCACAGAGGCAGUCAUGACAAUAAAAGUAACAGUAGUAAUUACAAGAAGUGUGCUCUGAAGACAAAACCACAAGGCUGAUCUCAACAUACCAAUAUAAAAAUAGAAUUCACACAUAGAAGCAUUUCCAGGAGUCAAUAACACACAGUACCAUGGGGGUGGGAGGUGUGGGGAGUUGGCAGAAACUGUCCAUAAUUUUCUAAGUGCAGAUGUUCGUUGUUCAGGAUUUUGAGCUCCUCCUCCAUUAUCUAGAGUAACUUCCCCAGAGAACCCUGCCUGGAGCCAGCCAUGCCUGGGUCCAACCUAGAGGCCACUGAGAGCCUGGCUGGUCAUUUCUUCCUGACUUUGCUGGGAUAGAGGGGCUGCAGCUCUAUACACCCAUUCCCAGGGCUCUGUGCUCUUUCCUCUCCCUCUUCCAUGGCCUCUACCUCCCCCUCCAUGCCCUUCUCCAGCCCCCUACCCCCACAGUCCUCUCCUUUGCUUUUACCUGCUGACUUCCCAGCCACAGCAACCCCAAACCUGAGGCUUCCCAAGGUUAAUCUCCAUGCCUCUGGUUAACUUACUGUGAAGUCAAAGAGGAAAGGGGGCCUAUUUUGGAUCCCAGUUCUCUGGGCGUGGUGGGGUGACUCAGGUAAAAUCCAAGGUAGAUGUACAGUCUGGGUUUGAGUUCAGUGGAGCAGGAAACCCUGUCCUGCUUUUUUAUCUGUUUUUCCCCCUCCUUUCUUCAUCUUAGUUUUUCUCAUGGAGGGAAUCUCAAACCUGAUGCUCUUGUCCCCUCCUGUCAGUUUUGUGCGUCAUUAACUUGCUCAUAUGCAGUCUGGGAAUGACUUUUCAUUUAGUCCUCCUUCUCCUCCCCCUCUGUGCUCCCCAGCCCAAGAAACACAUCCCUGCUGUUGGCAAAAACACCUCCCUACACACCCAGACAAAAUGCAUCCUGGCCACCUGAGCCUCACCUCCAAGAACAAGCAGGAUUUAGCAGCUUUUUUUCCUUCUAUUUUCUUCCCUUAAGAGAGAAAAUCUUCAUAAAUGAAACCAUUUAUAACCAACCAUUAUUUAACAGAAACCAACGAUCCCAGAGGGGAAACAUCUGGUUUCCCCUGUGGCUCCUGAGCUAAUUGAUGCUAUCCUGGGUUCUUGAGAAUGCCUGCCUGGGGUCCCAUAGCCCAUCCUGGGGGGUCUCACCCUCUCCCCACCUCAGAAGUGUCUCAACCCUCUGUGGCCCUGGCAAAGCCCUGGGCCUGUGCCUGCCCACCAGCUGUAGCUUACUCGGGGAGCUGCCACAUUCCCUCCCUCCCCAGCUGUGAGCAUUCUUGUACCACCUAGUGAGAGACAGCCCCCCCCUCCUGCCCCAUACUUCCCCCGCUUCCCUCUCCCCAUCUCUAGUCCACAGAACCUAGAAUCCUCCUAGAACCUACCCUUUCCCUUCAUCAGCUUGCAGCCCCUGAUGGUGGGGAGGGGGACUCCCAUCAGAGGUCUGGGCAUCCCAGGAAAUCUGGCCUGGCAGCUUGGGGUCUGGGGAAGAGAAGUCAGGCUGUAGAGACACUGCUUGGUUUAUGAAGUAGUGCCUGAGACUCAGACCAGGGGCCCAGGGAGCUCUGGCUGUCAAUGCUUCUAUGACUCUGUCAUGGAGAAGAAGUGGUGGGCAGUGGCAGGGAGCCACCCCAAGUGGGGGGAGGGGCUUGCUGUUCCACCUUCUCUGCCCCUCCCCUUCCCUGCCCCAACUCAUAGUAGGUCCUCUUAAUGGGUGCUAGCAUAGAGGCAACUUCCAUCCUCUUCUGGCUGCCUAAGGGCCCCUUGCCCAGACACCUCCUCAGACGCACCCAAACGCCCACUCCAAGGGUCAUUCAGGAUGGCCAUUGUUCUGCUGGCUGGGAAAGAACCACCCAGGCCUCUCACCUCCGGGCACAGCCGGAAAUGUGCUCUGGGGACCAUGUCUGAAAACAAACAGCAGGCCCACUGGGGUUGGCAGCAGACAGAGGGUGCUGGCUCCAGCCUAGGACUGAGAGCACAGAGGGGCAGAAACAGGCCUUGGACACAGGGCCCUCCAUCAAGUCCCAGCUUUUCCUGUGGGCAGCCUGGUAGAAGUAUGGGGGGCAGAGACUCCCGCCUCUAAGAGGCAGUCAGGCAUGCUGCCCCCCUCCCCUUAGCCCUAGCUGGGUGGGUGGGAGACUCUGGGGGUUGCUGGGCCACCUGGUCCAUCCCGACCACCCUCUCCUCCACCCUCUUCUAUGUGGCCUCCACCUCCCGGGGCGUUCGAUUGCGCUCAGUCUGCCCCCGGCUCUUCACCUUCUUGCCCAGCUCCAGCCCUGCCCAGCUCUUGCCCUUGGCCUGUUUGCCCCGGCUCCUGGAAGGGCACCACACGCGCUCACAGUACUCGUCCACCCGGGGCAGGUUGGCGAAGCCGAUGAGCUGCAGGAUGUCCUUAUACCAGGCCUUGGAGGGGGUGGAGGCCAGGCCUCCCCAGCCUGGGGUCUCCUCUGGCCUUGGAUCCCGAGGAAACAGGCCGUUGAGCUGUGUGGCCACAAUCACCUCCAGAGCCAGGCGGACCACAGUCUGGGAGAAGCCGUGCUCCAGUGUCUUGCAGGUGUAGAUGCCCGCAUCCAGGUGGCUGAGUCUGCGGAACAGCAGCCCCUGCUCUGUUUGCAGGACUCUCUCAUCUGUCUUUACCUGUGGGGGGUGGGGGAGGGGAUGAGGGGGACAUGGAGUAGGACGCACACAACAUCAGUUACUCUCCCUGCUUUUCCAACUUCGCAUUUCAGGACCUGGUGCUUAAGCAUUUCCCCUCCCCAUCUCUCCUUCCCAGGCUGGCUCAGCACUGUGAGCCAAUUGCAGGCAGGGUCUCACCUUCCUAUAACCCAGGACAAGGACUGCAAAGGAGGCUUUUCAAAGAUUUCACUGACUGGUUUCUCCCCUAGUCAGAGCUCUGUGGCACCUACCUUGGCCUUAGGGAGCCCUGCCACAUGGUCCCUGGGGAUAGAGUGGGCAGAGGGGUAUUUAUGGGUUUUUAUUCAGGGAGGGCUAUACCCAUAGCCCUAGGACUAGAAGUCCCCUCCACUUUCCUUUCUCUCUCUCUCUGUCUCUCUCUCUCUCUCUCUCUCUCUUCCCUGUCCUUGUCUGCACUGUUCAGUCCCCCAACCAGGGGUGGGCUGAGUGCCCAUCACAGUGCGGGAGGCAGGAGUGCUGCUCUGAUCCCACCUGGAUGUCUGCACAUCUGUACGUUGAGGCGGGACUGCUUGGGCGGUAAGUAUUGUGUAACCAUCUUGUUGUUCCCUGUGCCUGGCCCCCUGGGGGUGUGCUCCUCGUGCCUAGCCCAACAGCUGGCCCAAAGCUGGCCUCCCCCAGUUCCCAAGCUGGAAGGAGAGCCCCUCCUGUAAUCAAGGCACUCCCUCCCCUUCUCUGCCCCUGAGAGAGGCUGGAGAAUGGUUCCUCACCCUGCCCCACCCACGCCCUCAUCAGGCCCCAGACUAAAGCCAUUUCUGGGGUUGACAGACUUUUCCGGAUGGGGGAGGAGAGGGCCUGGGCAGACAGCUGGACUCCAGGGAGGAAGUGUGGGGCUAGGCAGUGGGUAUGUGUGUAGGGGUGUGUGUGUGUGUGUGUGCAAGUUUCAGUGGUUUAGGCACCACCCUGGGGCAGAGGAGAACCAAGAACCCAUGGGAAAGAGAGGCCUGCAAAGAUGAGCCAUAUGUGUGAGCCUGGGCUUCUUGACUAGACCAGACUCUCUUCCAUCUCUACUACCCACCUCCCAGAGCUCAGUUCAGUGCCUGGGAUUUAGUGGGCUCUCUGUCACAGGAAGGGUUGCAGCCACGUCUGGCCUGGGCAUUCCUGGAGGCAGGAAGAGGGGUACCUCCUUCCAGGCACUGCAGGCACUUAAUGCACACUUUUCUUCAGUUGACCUUGGCAGGUUCCCCCUAGAGCCCCUUCCUAGAGAUCAGGACUUGGGGUCAGGGAGGGAUGUGAGAUCAGGACAUGUGCAGGUUGGAGGCAAGGUCUUUGCUCACCUGGUCGGGUCCCUGACCCCCUGGCCUCUGCAAGAACCAGUGCACAGCAGCCUGGGAAGACUUGGGCAGGCACUCCAGAAAGGUGCUGUUGUGCUCCGUGCCGUAGACUGUGGUGGCCGCCACGGGGCCUGUAGCCUCGUCUGGAGGGAGGUGGAGGGGGGCUCGGCUCAGUAUUGUGGGCCCCCAGGGCCCCCACCAGUGUGACAAGGACCUAAGUGUCCAUCAAUCCCCAAGCCAUUCAUUCUGUCCAAAGACCCCUCCUUCCCCAGUAUACUGACAGGAGCUGCACAUGUAGGAAAACUGAGGGCUGGGUGUUAAAACAGGACCAGCCUGAGACCACACUUUGCAGGGGUUGAGCCCGGGCCAGAGGGGUGAGGAGGGGCCCCCAUGCCUGCCACCACUCACCUUCCUGGCUCUCCCCCAGGCACUGCAGGGCAGGGUUGCCAUGCCGGAUGUCCUGCCUGCGGAACCGGCGCUUGCUGGUGCCAGGCCGGUAGCGGGUACAGGAGGCACCGUCCCAGGCACAGUAUGGGUCCCGGGCCAGGCAGCACUCAGCACAGGCACUGCCGUAGGUUUCACAGUGGUGCAGCUGCAGCCGAGCCACGCCCAGCCUCGAGCCCACGUACAGCAUUUGCUGGGGGGGACACAAGCAGAGCCAAGGUGAGCCUGGGCCCCACCUAGAAGCAACUAGGCUCUUGGCCCUCUUGGGCUUCCUGAGACCCCCACCAUUUUCAGGCAGUCUUCCAGAACCUCUUGGAUGUAUCCCCAGAAACCAAAAAUGUUGAUCACCCACCUGAUAUGCACCAGAUCCUGUUCUAGGACACGGAAGGAAGGCACGGGGCAGACCUGGGGGGCUCUUCUCUAAGGGGUUUCUCCAGGCCCUUCCUGCUGCUGACUUUUGCCCUCAACCUCAAUAACCUUUAUCCUGACUUGCCUCUGACCUUAGAGGUGCACUCUGCCUCAAGCAAUCCUAAUACAAAAGUUGGGAUUUACCCAAGGAUAAACUGGGGCAGAAUAACUUGAGGAGAUUUUGCCACUUGCAAAAGGACAUAGCAGGCCUCUAAAAAGUGGCUCUCCCCUAUUUGAUUUAAAUUAUGGGGAUGCCUGGGUGGCUCAGUAGGUUGAGUGGCCAACUUCGGCUCAGGUCAUGAUCUCAAGGUCUGUGUAUUCGAGCCCCGCAUCAGGCUCUGUGCUGACAGCCUGGAGCUGCUUUGGAUUCGGUGUCUCCUUCUCUCUCUGCCUCUCCCUGACCCAUGCUCAGUCUCUCUCUCUCUCUCUCUCUCUCUCUCUC